GUGGCGGGGAGGGAAGCGAGCCAGGGCACCCAGAUCCUGCCCCCGACGGGUAGGAACUGUGGCCGUGUCCCCGCGCCCACUUUAGCUCACGCUGCUAGACGGGACCCCAGGCGUCCUCAGCGGACACGGGUCCUUUGGCUCCAGGAAGCAGGCUGUCUGAGCGGCUCCAUCCUCCACGUCCUCCUCGGGGAGGACGGCCUGCGGGCGGGGUGUGACUUCUCUGCACACCCCCCUGCUUCUCAUUACCUCCCUACACACAGAGAAGGCAGGAAGCUCCUCUCUAAGACCAGCAUCAUGGUUUUCUCGGCUCUCUGGCUGCUGAGGGCUUGGAGUGAGAUGCGAUGAAUGUCUCUUUGCUGGUUGUCUGGGGACAGUGGCAUUGUUACCUGACCGCAGGGACGGGAUUGGAAUAGUUCCUCUUAAAGGGCCACACUCCCAAAGGUUCAAGGCUCCUUCCCAGGAAGGCUGUGGAGGUCCGGCCUCUGAGACCCAUGGGUGAGGAAGUUGCCGCGCCAAGCGGCCUCUGUAUCAGAAGCCAGUCAGCAAGCUGCCGGGACAGCCCUGCUGCACCAUGUGCUCGCUCUGUGCCCUUAACUCGUAGUCACCCCAUGCCUCUGCUGUGCCUGGAACUCUUGGGGGAGGCGGCAAGCCCCUUGCCCUCCCCGAGCUCACCUUCUGCCAGGUUAGACGUCACCUGUGUGUUCCAGACUGCAGGGCCUCGGCUAGUGGGUAAAAGUCGUAGGGAGGUGGGUUUGGGUUGGAUUCUAGGAAGACCUUUCUAACUCUUCAAGUGCCAUCAGAACAGAAUGGGCUGCCUUGUGGGCUGGUGAGCACCCUGGCUCUGAAGACGUCCCGAGAGAGAUGGAGGGCAUGCAGGAUGCAGUGAAGAGGCUCUAAAUGGAUUCCCAUGAUUUCGUGUGAGUGUGGGCAGGACCCACGUGACUGUAUAUCCCAACCAAGAGAAUCCAGCAGCGAUGAUAGGAUGUCACCUCCGUGGUUACAGGAUAUAAAGUUGCGUCAUCUCUCUCACUGAAGGGCUCUCUCUUUUGCUGACUCUGAUGGAGCUAGGGGCCAUGUUGGGGAGGCGGACGUGGCAGGAGCUGCAACAGCCUUGGGCCAACAACCAGCCGGGAAGUGAAGAUGACCUCUGGCCAAGAGCCAGCGAGAAAUUGAGGCCAUCAGUCCACCAGGACAGACGUAACCGAAUUCUGCCAACAACCCAGGGAGUUUGGAAGCAGACCCUUCCCCACUUGAGCCUCAGAUGAGACCACAGCCCCGACUUUCAUUGCAGCUCUCAGAUGAGAUAGAAGCCGAGCACCCAGCCAAGACCCACUGGACUCUUGAGCCGCAGAGAUGGGAGAUAGAAGUGAGUGGUUUCUUAAGCUGCCAAGUCAUGGUGCUGUCAUGAAGCAGUAACAGACCACCUGUAUCGUCUAUCGUAAAGGAAAUGGUACAUCAGCCAGAAGGCCGGACCGGCUUCCCUAGGCAUCUGUUUCCACCCUGGAGACUCUCGAGCCGUGGCUCACUCAUCUGUAUCUGCUGCAUGGUGCUUAGCUCAGUUUCUUGCAUAAAAUGGUCUUGAUGCAUAUUUGUUAAGUGAUCUGCUGCCUUAGCACUGGCUUAUGCAGCAGAGAAACAGGAGGCCUGGCCUAUGAGGAAGAGGUAUCUGAGCAGCUCUGGGAUGAGACCAGAAGCCUGGAACGUCCAGCUAGGCUUGGACCUUGGGCAAGGCUGUCUGCCCUUUGCACACCUUAUCGAUAAAACCUCGGACUCAGCUACUCACGGGUUUGUGCAGGUCGAAUGAGCUAAUGCGACCGCCCGUUAAGAGGCCCACGGAGUUGAGAUGUACGAGUUCUUUGUAUAUUUUGGAUAUUAAUUUUGGAUAUUAACCCCGGAUCGGAUAGAAGAUUUUGCCUGUAUUUUCUCCCAUUCGAGAUGCUGAGCUGGUCAGUGUCCCAGCAGGACCUGGAACCAUGGGCUCCCGUGACCCUCCCAGGCCCACAGCUGUCUUUCUAGAGGCCCCAAGACGAAGGUCGUCCCUGGCCCUGGGUGAGUGCUGAGGCACUAGGGCAUCCUAGGUUCCGUGGACACCCAGUGGCCGUCGCAUCUCUUGACUGGCCACGGCCACAGGGUCCACAGGCGGGGACGGAAGGAGCCGCGUUUUCUUACCCACGCCAGACUCCUGGGACUCUCACCUCACGGUGCUUCUCUUGGCCCCGAGACCAGACUGGCAGGGAAGAAGGUUGGAGCCGGUCCCAGAGGAGUGCUGGCGGGGGGGGGGGUGCUUUUCAUCACCUUUAAUGAUCUGACAUCAACAGCAGCCUGCUAAUAGGUGAUCUCCGCAUUCCCGUAUUUACGCUAAUUAGUUAAUAUCCACGGAGGGCGGUGAAGGUGGCAGCGAGACGUCUGCCAAGGAGAGUGAUUCAUAAGAAAAGGAGAGACCGCCCAAAUCUGGAGGCCAUCGCCCAGCUGGCACGUCCCGCAGGGGCGUCCCUCGGGGGCUGCAGGCUCUGACAAGCAGCGUGGUGGUGGUAGGCGAGCUUGCUUUGCAGAGGGAGCGGGCCCUCUGGGGCUUUUGGUGGACACCGGGUGCUGGGGGCUCCUGCUCUGCU